rnacentral:lncRNA from 1 species
UUAUGAUUAUGUUAUUAUUAGACUCAUCAGAGUGUAGGAACAAUCAUGCACUCAGGAUUUACGGAUUAAGGGGAUCCUCAUAGACUUUAAGGGGUAGGUCAGCAGAUGAUUCCUCACUAUCUUCCUCAUCUGGUUGGAGGGCAUGGAAAAAGUGAGUUCCAUAUACUCAGUAAAGAAAAUAAUAUUUAAAUAAUAUCGUAAGAUUUAAAAAGUGAAAAAUUAUAUCAUAAAUACUAACAAUUAGGUCAUGUCAGAGUCCUAUCCUACCUUAUGAAAAAAAUUUAUUUAUUAAGAAAAUAUUAUAGUCACCAUAAUCAAAAUCAAACAUCAUACUUGAAAAUAAAAUAAAUCAUGAAAUGCUCAGAUUUUCAUAUCAUGCUUCAUAAAGUUGUUUCAACUUCCAUCUCUGAGGGUAGAUAUGGAUUUUUGGCUACCCAUGUGGAAUGACCAGAUCAGAUAUAGAUAAUAACAAUUUGCUCAUGCACAUUCCAAGCUUGCCAAACCAUGGUUCGACUAUGACCACACCCGUACUGACCAUAGUGGUCCUAUCAAAUAUUAUAUAGCCAUGACAGUACUUAGCAAAGGUGACCCCUAACAGAUAUUCACAUCACUGCUCUCGUCAAAGGGUACACUGUCAUCUACAGGGAGCGGUCCUCUCACGCCUUUUCAAAUUAGAUGGGGGAGGGGGAAAUGGAUACCCCUCAGAGAUAAAAAGCCUAACAAGACACUUGAUGUAUUAUACAUGUCAAUAUGGAUACAUACACACUUCGAACCAUUCAGGCUUCAUUACACUUUUUUUUAAUUAUUUUCUAGAUAACAUCACUGGUUUCAUAUUAUUUUAUUUUCAUGCAAAUCAUCAAAUACCUAUAAAUCACAUAGCAUGCUUGAAAUCAAGAACAAUUCACUUUAUUAGAACUACUAAACAUAAAACAUGCAAACUACCCAAAAUCACAUAUUCAUUAUUUUAAUUUUCCUAGAAAUACUCUUUAAGACAUUUAAAGAAAUACUCAGUUCCUUAUUGGAACCUCAAAGUUUUUCUAAACCUUUCUUCUUCUCUUCCUGUCCUUCUCUCUCUAGAUCACUGUCUCUCUCAAAACUCUUUGCAGGUGGAAGAAUGGAA